UACGGGAGGCAGCAGUGGGGAAUAUUGCACAAUGGGCGCAAGCCUGAUGCAGCCAUGCCGCGUGUAUGAAAAAGGCCUUCGGGUUGUAAAGUACUUUCAGUCGUGAGGAAGGUGUUAAGGUUAAUAACCUUAGCAAUUGACGUUAGCGACAGAAGAAGCACCGGCUAACUCCGUGCCAGCAGCCGCGGUAAUACGGAGGGUGCGAGCGUUAAUCGGAAUUACUGGGCGUAAAGGGCACGCAGGCGGUUAAUUAAGUUGGAUGUGAAAUCCCCGGGCUUAACCUGGGAAUGGCAUUCAAGACUGGUUAGCUAGAGUCUUGUAGAGGGGGUAGAAUUCCAUGUGUAGCGGUGAAAUGCGUAGAGAUGUGGAGGAAUACCGGUGGCGAAGGCGGCCCCUGGGACAAAGGCUGACGCUCAUGUGCGAAAGCGUGGGGAGCGAAACAGGGAUUAGA
rnacentral:rRNA from 1 species